CAGUGGCGAACGGGUGAGUAACACGUGAGUAACCUGCCCUUGACUCUGGGAUAACCGCGGGAAACGGCGGCUAAUACCGGAUAUGAGACGUACAGGCAUCUGUUGCGUCUGGAAAGAUUUAUCGGUCAAGGAUGGGCUCGCGGCCUAUCAGCUUGUUGGUGGGGUGAUGGCCUACCAAGGCGACGACGGGUAGCCGGCCUGAGAGGGCGACCGGCCACACUGGGACUGAGACACGGCCCAGACUCCUACGGGAGGCAGCAGUGGGGAAUAUUGCACAAUGGGCGCAAGCCUGAUGCAGCGACGCCGCGUGAGGGAUGAAGGCCUUCGGGUUGUAAACCUCUUUCAGCAGGGAAGAAGCGCAAGUGACGGUACCUGCAGAAGAAGCGCCGGCUAACUACGUGCCAGCAGCCGCGGUAAUACGUAGGGCGCAAGCGUUGUCCGGAAUUAUUGGGCGUAAAGAGCUCGUAGGCGGUUUGUCGCGUCUGCUGUGAAAACCUGAGGCUCAACCUCGGGCUUGCAGUGGGUACGGGCAGACUAGAGUGCGGUAGGGGUGACUGGAAUUCCUGGUGUAGCGGUGGAAUGCGCAGAUAUCAGGAGGAACACCGAUGGCGAAGGCAGGUCACUGGGCCGCAACUGACGCUGAGGAGCGAAAGCAUGGGGAGCGAACAGGAUUAGAUACCCUGGUAGUCCAUGCCGUAAACGUUGGGCACUAGGUGUGGGGCUCAUUCCACGAGUUCCGUGCCGCAGCAAACGCAUUAAGUGCCCCGCCUGGGGAGUACGGCCGCAAGGCUAAACUCAAAGAAAUUGACGGGGGCCCGCACAAGCGGCGGAGCAUGCGGAUUAUUUCGAUGCAACGCGAAAAACCUUACCAAGGCUUGACAUACACCGGAAAAGUGCAGAGAUGUGCUCCCCGCAAGGUCGGUGUACAGGUGGUGCAUGGUUGUCGUCAGCUCGUGUCGUGAGAUGUUGGG
rnacentral:rRNA from 1 species